rnacentral:rRNA from 1 species
UACAGAGGUCUCAAGCGUUGUUCGGAUUCAUUGGGCGUAAAGGGUGCGUAGGCGGCGCGGUAAGUCGGGUGUGAAAUCUCGGAGCUUAACUCCGAAACUGCAUUCGAUACUGCCGUGCUUGAGGACUGGAGAGGAGACGUAGGUAAUUGACGGUGUAGCGGUGAAAUGCGUAGAUAUCAAAGAGGAACACCUGAGGUGAAGACGGGUUGCUGGGCUGACACUGGCGCUGAGGCGCGAAAGCUAGGGGAGCGAACGGG